UUGUUUUUGUUCUUCAGAAGUUCAGGCAACUAGGUUGCUCACUAGGAAAAGCCUGAACCACCAUGAACAAAAGCAAUUUCGUGGCUGAGGCCCAGAAAAUGCAAAGCUUCGCAUCUUCAUUGUAGAGAGCUUUGCUUACUUGCUUGCUUGCUUCAUGCCUACAACAUGCAUGCACUUUCUGUGUAACCAAAGAAGUCAGAGACCUCGGAGGAGGCAUGUGGACUGUAAGGCAAAACAGGCAUAUAGACUCAAGGACUUGUACAUCGGUGAAAUAUGAAGCAUUUUUCAGGCUUCAAGUUUGAGAAGAAGAUGGCAUCAAUGAGGAAUGGAGCCGAGGGUGGUUCACAGUUGCGAACAUCGCCGUCUCAACGCUUUUUGGAGCGCCCCUUGAGGAAUCUGGUAAGAAACGUGGAGUCUGCUCCUGCCACUGCUAUGUACAAAGAGGAAAUCCAUGUGUUAGGUGUUUAAACUGCUAGCAUAAACGUGUGGUUGAUUGAUUGGCAGCAAUGUCAGAGCCAUAAGUGAGAAUACAAAUGCAAUAGGAAAGCUCCAUGAUUAGGAAUUCUCAGUCAUCGAUCCUUUUUGUUUUGAAGAUGAACAUUUGUAGUGAAGUAAUCAAUCAAAUUGUUCAACAAUAUUUCCUCAGUAUAUUCCUUUUUGAGCCUCUAUGUACAGACCAUUCACUGUAUCUCUCGUUAAGGAAAACCAACACAUUUCUGCCACAUACAUGUGCAGUUGACGAUUUGGCCGGCAGCAGCAACAUUUCUUGGCAUGUGGGUGCUGGUUUUGGCGGGCAAGCAAGCAGCAACGAGCAGCUGCAGGCAAAAGCUACUAACAGGUGAAAAAAUAAUUCUAGAUCAACAAUGUUUUACAUCGCGACCUCACUUGUUCAUAAUUUGAUGGUAGGAUGUUAGAUUUAGUCGACGGUUACUAUUGAAUGGACUCUUAAUUUGUAUGGUCAAUGCUAUGAAUUAUUGAAGCGGAUGGACAGGUUUGUAGAAUACUCAACCAGAUGUGUUAGUCUUCACACAGCAGCAGAGGUCGUUUUCAAACAGCAGCACCAAUGUACAUCUUCUACAAACAAAAAAAGGGAAAAUAUGCUAGUCUUGCUGUUUAUCUACUCUUAAUUUUGAACUGACAAAAAAAUAUUGAUCUGAACUGGCAGGUGUUGCUUGGCUCCUGACUCCCUUCGCCAUGCCACUCACCUCGCGUCGCUGGACCACCGCGGUCGCUGGCAGAAUCCUUUUGUUUAGUAUCCAGCGCAAGCAAUCUGAAUCCGCACGCGCAAGCCUUGUGUUGCCGAGUCAGCCCUCCUUCUGCUGACUGCUUCUGCAGUAGCAAGUCGCGCCACCUGCACCUGUUAUCGCCACAAGACGUUCUACUACACCUAUAUGUUCUACUACGACUAAACGCCGGUGGUGGUGAAGUUC
rnacentral:lncRNA from 1 species